GACGAACGCUGGCGGCGUGCUUAACACAUGCAAGUCGAACGGAAAGGCCCUGCUUGCAGGGUACUCGAGUGGCGAACGGGUGAGUAACACGUGGGUGAUCUGCCCUGCACUUCGGGAUGAGCCUGGGAAGCUGGGUCUAAUACCGGAUAGGAGCCAUUUUUAGUGUGAUGGUUGGAAAGUUUUUUCGGUGUAGGAUGAGCUCGCGGCCUAUCAGCUUGUUGGUGGGGUAAUGGCCUACCAAGGCGGCGACGGGUAGCCGGCCUGAGAGGGUGGACGGCCACAUUGGGACUGAGAUACGGCCCAGACUCCUACGGGAGGCAGCAGUGGGGAAUAUUGCACAAUGGGCGCAAGCCUGAUGCAGCGACGCCGCGUGGGGGAUGACGGCCUUCGGGUUGUAAACUCCUUUCGCUAGGGACGAAGCUUUUUGUGACGGUACCUAGAUAGGAAGCACCGGCUAACUACGUG
rnacentral:rRNA from 1 species